rnacentral:rRNA from 1 species
UACGAAGGGGGGCUAGCGUUGCUCGGAAUCACUGGGCGUAAAAGCGCACGUAGGCGGCUUUCUAAGUCAGGGGUGAAAUCCUGGAGCUCAACUCCAGAACUGCCUUUGAUACUGGGAGUCUCGAGUCCGGGAGAGGUGAGUGGAACUGCGAGUGUAGAGGUGAAAUUCGUAGAUAUUCGCAAGAACACCAGUGGCGAAGGCGGCUCACUGGCCCGGUACUGACGCUGAGGUGCGAAAGCGUGGGGAGCAAACAGG